CGGGAACAUUCGAGUUUUCGUAGUUUUUCUCACGCAUGUUUAUAAACCGUUACAACGCUUUAUUUUGUAAACAUUGAUAUAAAUAUAGAACGAGACGCGACAAUAUUUUAUGACACUUUCAUCACGUGGGCAGCAAACCAUAUACUUUCAUGCUUCCAUCACUAAUAGGGAAUCGAUCUUACCGAUUUUCGUCGCGAAUCGACGAAAAUCGGGAUCGAAUCCCACUACGUUAACAUACGAGGGUAUCCAAACAACACAUACUAUUCAAAUAAAAAAAUAUGGAGUUCCGGUUUAGACCAUGGGCGUGCGACGACCCCGAUGAAAUUCGGGAUAUCACGGUCUUCGUUAAUGUUAAUAAGCGUCCGUCAGAUCGGUAGGCGAAACGCAAUAUCCGCACAAUAAGAUGUCUGCGACCCGAAAGAAUAUUCAAAGUAAGCUGUUAAUUUUGUUGCGUCAGAAGCUAAUCAGCCGGUAACGUGACUACACUGAUAUAAUUUGUGAUACAAACAUGUUUUAUUCAAUACUGAGUUGCAUUUUUAAACGGCGACAUUUUGAAUAUUUUUAUAUUUAGAGUGAGAGUGGAUACAGUACCGAUACUGUUACACUGGCGCCGACAUUUUGAAAAUUUGAGAAAACAAAAACAUUCUCCAACGAGUUCUUCAGCUCGGGGAAUGAGAGAAUAGAUUCACCUUUGUGUCGCUUUUCAGAUCGUAUUUUAAUUCCUUUCCGGUACUUUAGUUUCUUUGAACUUCUCUGUUACUCACUAAGCGUACAGUAUUGGAUUUUUAAAAUUAAGAAAUCCGUGAUUUUACUUGCAGGCAUGACUGAUAAAUGGAAUUAUUUUACUUUUAUAUAGAAUAUGGACGGCACUCCAGUUCAGCAUGUGCAUGGUUGGACCUGUUGACAUUUUUAGAAACGCAUCUUGGUCUAUUAUACAGAGUAUUGUUGUGCUGCUCCAAAGUGCUUGUUGACAGACUGAAACCACUUGCUUGCAGCUCAUAAGGUUUACUUCUUGAGAGCAGGCAGCUACAAAAUGGAAGGUCAACAAAUCCAGUAUACUUGAAAAGCAAGAAAGAAACACCAGAAAAUAUGAAAAGACAGAAAUACAAAGGAACUUGAAUAAAAAAAAACUUUUAAGGAUAGGAAUUCAGGAUUUACUUGGAAACUAAAUUUAUUUUGAGAGCAGCAGUGAUUGACUAAGCUCUGUUACUUUAAGAGAUAAUGUAUUAUCACAUUGGUUUUGUUAUUGUCGAGCCGCUAGCGGUAGCGAAGACAUAGUUGUCCAAAUGUCUGUUUGGUGUAUGUGCGUGCGUCCGUCCGUCCGGAUUUGUUUGUCCAGACCAUAACUUGGACAUGCAUGGAGCAAUCUUGUUUAUAUUUGGUAUGAAUGUUAACCUCAGUGAGACGGAGUGUCGUGCACAAACCCCAGGUUCCUAUCUCAAAGGCCAAGGUCACACUUACAGGUCAAAGGUCAAAUUCAAAAAUGACUUUGUCUGGAGUAUUUCUUUAUCAUGCAUGGAGGGAUUUUGAUGUAACUUGGCACAAUUGUUCACCAUCAUGAGAUGGAGUGUGAUGCGCAAGAACCAGGUCCCUAGGUCUAAGGUCAAGGUCACACUUAGAGGUCAAAGGAUACAAGAAUGACAACUUUGUCCAGAGUAUUUCUUCUUCGUGCAUGGAGGGAUUUUGAUGUAACUUGGCACAAAUGUUCACCACCAUGAGACGGAGUGUCUUGCAGAAGAACCAGUUCCCUAGGUCUAAGAUCAAGGCCACACUUAGAGGUCAAAAGUCAGAUACAAGAAUGACUUUGUCUGCAGCAUUUCUUUUUGAUGCAUAGAGGGAUUUUGAUGUAACUUGGCACAAUUGUUCAUCAUCAAGCGACGGAGGGUCAUGCGUAAGAUCCUAGAAUUACUUCCCUUUGUUGUUACUAUAAAUAGCUUACAUUUGUAACUUUUUUAUUACUGGUCAUAGGGAAAAAUCAAGACCACUUUUCUGUAGUACAACAUGCAUGUUACAUCCAAUUUUCAGGUGUAUUUUGACCUAUCUCUGGUGGUGCGGAUUUUUGUGUGGACUUAGAAUUUUUUUAUAUAUUUUUUUUUAUAAUUUUUUUUAAAUUUUUUUUUUUAAAUUUACGUUCCUUUGUUGUUACUGUAAAUAAUUUAUAUUGUAACUUUUUGCAAUCUCUUUUAUUUGGCAUAAAUGUUUGCCUCAAUGAGACAAGGAGUGUCAUGUACAACUCCCAGUCCUUUUGACAGCUGGCAGGCUCGACAUAUUGCCCAUGGGCAUCUAGUUCUCAUAAAACAUACUAAAGUUUCAUUAAUCUUAUUUUAGAUAAUUGUUUUCUGGUUUAUUUUGUAAAGAAUGUCUACUACAUUGUAAUUAACAUAGUUACAGUAAAGUAAUAUUUUUCAUGAGAUUUUAAAGAGAAUGUUCUGUUAUACCCCCAUGUAGUAAGCUUGUCUGUCUUUCAGUCAGUAGGUUUUCAUGGCUUCGAGAUGAUAACUCAUGAAAAGCUUGACCGAUUUAAAUAUGUUUUGGUACAUAGGUACAGGUCAAGACGACUUUGGGGUCAGUAGGUCAAAGGUCAAGAUAACUUGCAAACGCUUUGGCCUGGGAUCAUAGCUUUUGUAACACAGGUGUAACAUGAUAAAAUACAGGUUGUUUGAAUUUGAGGUCAAUAGAUCAAAGGUCAAGGUCACAGUGA